GCUGGUCCUAUGUGCUCAUGUGGGCCAUCCCACAAUUCAUUUGCAACCUUUGGAAGCUGCAAUACAGCUCAGCCUGCAGUUUGGGCAGGACUCCCCACGAUUAUGAGGGGCUCCCAGAACAAGUCAUAACACAAAAGCGUUCCCGCUGCUGCCUUGACCUAUCACUGGCACAUUUUCCUACUGGGGAUGAUGCAGGAGGAUGAUGUUGCCAAGCGUCAAAAUCUACAGUUGAAAAGAAGCAGUAACCUGCAAUGACAGGGAGGUUCAUAAAAUACAAAAAGGUCAGCAAGCGAUCUCAGUAAGACUGUUCUGGAAAUCAUGUGAUUGAUCACCUCUGGCUCCUGCUUCCAUUCCAUAUGAGCCUGAAGAUGACAGGAGCUACAGAGUUUGAACCCUUUUUAUCUUAAGUACCUUAUUUUUCCUUUUUCUGUGUUUAUUAACUGGGAGACAUCCUAG